UCGCGCCCUGUCAUCACAGACAUGAGCGGCAGUUCGGCACGGCUCUCAUAGGAGGUGUAUUUCACACACCUCCUCUGUCGCACUUAACCCGCCCACUCCAGCGUUCAGACGUGUGCUACGUCAGAACGCUGGGGGAGUAUAUUAGGAGUCCUUCUAGCACAGACAAGCCGCUCAGGCCAUCAGGGGUAGACCGUGUGCACACCAGCUGUCAUACUAAGUGUAUGGUCCGCUGCGGUAGUGGCCUCCUAUCGUAUUCCCUUGAGGAUUGGAGUGCUUAUCAACACCUUUCCUUCAGGAGACGCAAUAAGAGAUCGCCAGUUCGGCUUGUGUACCCGGUGUCAAUCAGUACAUUGCUGUGUGUGCCAGUUGUACAUCGGCUUCCCCUAACCUUAUUCAGGUCAAUGGAAAUCUUUCUACUAGGACUGACGGGCUUCAUAUGACCCGCUUUUUUUGAUCCAGCCGCACCUUGCAAUCCAUCUGGCAACUUUUGACAGACCCAUCUGUGGCCUUUUGAUCACGAUCAUCAUUGAGAUUGUUUUAUACACAUAUAUGUCCCUGAGGAAGCCCGAAUGGGCGAAACAUGUCGGACCCACUGUAUAUAACAGUAUUCAUUUCUACUAAUGGUGAAAUACAAUUUUUCAUAUGAUCAUGCCUUUUAGCUUCGCCUGUAUGUAGUAAUGUGACAAAUUAUAAUAAAAUGAUUUUUUAUAUAUACAA